CCACCCCUGCUGAAAGACAUUCCCGCUAUUCGAACCAAAAAAAGAAGACAAUCGCGCGUUGCCCAUUUAUCAGAGAUAAGUUUGAGUUGCACUGAACUCAACUUCCAGAAAACGCACCCCAAGUUUGUAUUCGUCGGCUCGAAAUCCAACGGUAACA